UUAAGUUAUUAAGGGCGCACGGUGGAUGCCUUGGCACUAGAAGCCGAUGAAGGACGUUACUAACGACGAUAUGCUUUGGGGAGCUGUAAGUAAGCUUUGAUCCAGAGAUUUCCGAAUGGGGAAACCCAGCAUGAGUUAUGUCAUGUUAUCGAUAUGUGAAUACAUAGCAUAUCAGAAGGCACACCCGGAGAACUGAAACAUCUUAGUACCCGGAGGAAGAGAAAGAAAAUUCGAUUCCCUUAGUAGCGGCGAGCGAAACGGGAAGAGCCCAAACCAACAAGCUUGCUUGUUGGGGUUGUAGGACACUCUAUACGGAGUUACAAAGGACGACAUUAGACGAAUCAUCUGGAAAGAUGAAUCAAAGAAGGUAAUAAUCCUGUAGUCGAAAAUGUUGUCUCUCUUGAGUGGAUCCUGAGUACGACGGAGCACGUGAAAUUCCGUCGGAAUCUGGGAGGACCAUCUCCUAAGGCUAAAUACUCUCUAGUGACCGAUAGUGAACCAGUACCGUGAGGGAAAGGUGAAAAGCACCCCGGAAGGGGAGUGAAAUAGAACCUGAAACCGUGUGCUUACAAGUAGUCAGAGCCCGUUAAUGGGUGAUGGCGUGCCUUUUGUAGAAUGAACCGGCGAGUUACGAUUUGAUGCAAGGUUAAGCAGUAAAUGUGGAGCCGUAGCGAAAGCGAGUCUGAAUAGGGCGUUUAGUAUUUGGUCGUAGACCCGAAACCAGGUGAUCUACCCUUGGUCAGGUUGAAGUUCAGGUAACACUGAAUGGAGGACCGAACCGACUUACGUUGAAAAGUGAGCGGAUGAACUGAGGGUAGCGGAGAAAUUCCAAUCGAACCUGGAGAUAGCUGGUUCUCUCCGAAAUAGCUUUAGGGCUAGCCUCAAGUGAUGAUUAUUGGAGGUAGAGCACUGUUUGGACGAGGGGCCCCUCUCGGGUUACCGAAUUCAGACAAACUCCGAAUGCCAAUUAAUUUAACUUGGGAGUCAGAACAUGGGUGAUAAGGUCCGUGUUCGAAAGGGAAACAGCCCAGACCACCAGCUAAGGUCCCAAAAUAUAUGUUAAGUGGAAAAGGAUGUGGCGUUGCCCAGACAACUAGGAUGUUGGCUUAGAAGCAGCCAUCAUUUAAAGAGUGCGUAAUAGCUCACUAGUCGAGUGACACUGCGCCGAAAAUGUACCGGGGCUAAACAUAUUACCGAAGCUGUGGAUUGUCCUUUGGACAAUGGUAGGAGAGCGUUCUAAGGGCGUUGAAGCAUGAUCGUAAGGACAUGUGGAGCGCUUAGAAGUGAGAAUGCCGGUGUGAGUAGCGAAAGACGGGUGAGAAUCCCGUCCACCGAUUGACUAAGGUUUCCAGAGGAAGGCUCGUCCGCUCUGGGUUAGUCGGGUCCUAAGCUGAGGCCGACAGGCGUAGGCGAUGGAUAACAGGUUGAUAUUCCUGUACCACCUAUAAUCGUUUUAAUCGAUGGGGGGACGCAGUAGGAUAGGCGAAGCGUGCGAUUGGAUUGCACGUCUAAGCAGUAAGGCUGAGUAUUAGGCAAAUCCGGUACUCGUUAAGGCUGAGCUGUGAUGGGGAGAAGACAUUGUGUCUUCGAGUCGUUGAUUUCACACUGCCGAGAAAAGCCUCUAGAUAGAAAAUAGGUGCCCGUACCGCAAACCGACACAGGUAGUCAAGAUGAGAAUUCUAAGGUGAGCGAGCGAACUCUCGUUAAGGAACUCGGCAAAAUGACCCCGUAACUUCGGGAGAAGGGGUGCUCUUUAGGGUUAACGCCCAGAAGAGCCGCAGUGAAUAGGCCCAAGCGACUGUUUAUCAAAAACACAGGUCUCUGCUAAACCGUAAGGUGAUGUAUAGGGGCUGACGCCUGCCCGGUGCUGGAAGGUUAAGAGGAGUGGUUAGCUUCUGCGAAGCUACGAAUCGAAGCCCCAGUAAACGGCGGCCGUAACUAUAACGGUCCUAAGGUAGCGAAAUUCCUUGUCGGGUAAGUUCCGACCCGCACGAAAGGCGUAACGAUUUGGGCACUGUCUCAACGAGAGACUCGGUGAAAUCAUAGUACCUGUGAAGAUGCAGGUUACCCGCGACAGGACGGAAAGACCCCGUGGAGCUUUACUGUAGCCUGAUAUUGAAAUUCGGCACAGCUUGUACAGGAUAGGUAGGAGCCUUUGAAACGUGAGCGCUAGCUUACGUGGAGGCGCUGGUGGGAUACUACCCUAGCUGUGUUGGCUUUCUAACCCGCACCACUUAUCGUGGUGGGAGACAGUGUCAGGCGGGCAGUUUGACUGGGGCGGUCGCCUCCUAAAAGGUAACGGAGGCGCUCAAAGGUUCCCUCAGAAUGGUUGGAAAUCAUUCAUAGAGUGUAAAGGCAUAAGGGAGCUUGACUGCGAGACCUACAAGUCGAGCAGGGUCGAAAGACGGACUUAGUGAUCCGGUGGUUCCGCAUGGAAGGGCCAUCGCUCAACGGAUAAAAGCUACCCCGGGGAUAACAGGCUUAUCUCCCCCAAGAGUUCACAUCGACGGGGAGGUUUGGCACCUCGAUGUCGGCUCAUCGCAUCCUGGGGCUGUAGUCGGUCCCAAGGGUUGGGCUGUUCGCCCAUUAAAGCGGUACGCGAGCUGGGUUCAGAACGUCGUGAGACAGUUCGGUCCCUAUCCGUCGUGGGCGUAGGAAAUUUGAGAGGAGCUGUCCUUAGUACGAGAGGACCGGGAUGGACAUACCUCUGGUGUACCAGUUGUCGUGCCAACGGCAUAGCUGGGUAGCUAUGUAUGGACGGGAUAAGUGCUGAAAGCAUCUAAGCAUGAAGCCCCCCUCAAGAUGAGAUUUCCCAACUUCGGUUAUAAGAUCCCUCAAAGAUGAUGAGGUUAAUAGGUUCGAGGUGGAAGCAUGGUGACAUGUGGAGCUGACGAAUACUAAUCGAUCGAAGACUUAAUCAA
rnacentral:rRNA from 2 species